rnacentral:rRNA from 1 species
UGAAUACGAGACGCUACGGCGUCGAAGCAGUCUAUGUCAUACUUCCAAGAAAAGCUUGCACUGUCAUAAACAAAUAAUGCCUGUACCAUAACCGACACAGGUGGGUAGGUAGAGUAUACUAAGGGGCGCGAGAUAACUCUCUCUAAGGAACUCGGCAAAAUGACUCCGUAACUUCGGGAGAAGGAGUGCCUUAUUUAUAAGGUUGCAAUAACAAGAUCCAAGCAACUGUUUAUCAAAAACACAGGCCUCCGCUAAGUCGUAAGACGAUGUAUGGGGGCUGACGCCUGCCCAGUGCCAGAAGGUUAAAGAAGUUGGUUAGCAUUAGCGAAGCUGAUAACUGAAGCCCUGGUGAACGGCGGCCGUAACGAUAACGGUCCUAAGGUAGCGAAAUUCCUUGUCGGGUAAGUUCCGACCCGCACGAAAGGCGUAAUGAUUUGGAUACUGUCUCGGAGAGGGGCUCGGUGAAAUAGACUUGUCUGUGAAGAUGCGGACUACCUGCACCUGGACAGAAAGACCCUAUGAAGCUUUACUGUAACCUGAAAUUGAAAUUGGACUUUAUUUGCGCAGUAUAGGUGGGAGGCGUUGAGAAUAUUCUUGCGGGAAUAUUGGAGCCAUCAGUGAGAUACCACUCUUGUAAUGUUAGAUUUCUAACUUUGAAUCAUUAUCUGGUCAAAGAACAGUUUCAGGCGGGCAGUUUGACUGGGGCGGUCGCCUCCUAAAUGGUAACGGAGGCGCACAAAGGUUUCCUCUGAACGGGUAGAAAUCGUAUCUAGAGUGUAAAGGCAUAAGGAAGCUUGACUGUGAGACCUACAAGUCGAGCAGGGACGAAAGUCGGUCUUAGUGAUCUGACGGUGCUGAGUGGAAAGGCCGUCACUCAACGGAUAAAAGUUACUCUAAGGAUAACAGGCUGAUCUCCCCCAAGAGUUCACAUCGACGGGGAGGUUUGGCACCUCGAUGUCGGCUCAUCGCAUCCUGGGGCGGUAGUACGUCCCAAGGGUUGGGCUGUUCGCCCAUGAAAGCGGUACGCGAGCUGGGUUCAGAACGUCGUGAGACAGUUCGGUCCAUAUCCGGUGUAGGCGUUAGAAUAUUGAGAGGAGCCUUCUUUAGUACGAGAGGACCGAGAAGGACAUACCUCUGGUGUACCAGUUAUCGUGCCAACGGUAAACGCUGGGUAGCUAUGUAUGGAGAGGAUAACCGCUGAAAGCAUCUAAGUGGGAAGCCCACCUCAAGAUAAGUAUUCC